CUACCAUAUAGUGACUAGAAAGCCGGAAGUUUCCUGUUACAUCGGUGCUUCGGUUUUUGCGAAACACCUGAAUUUGGCAUAGAGGAUGAGGCGGCCGCGCGCGCCGGAGCUGCAGGUGAGCGCGCUCCCUCAGCCUGUUACUCAGCAGGCGGCAGUUCAGCCACCGCCGACUAGAGCCCAGGACAACAAAAAACGCACUGAAACCAAGGCCAUCGUCUCUUUGCUUGCAGGUCGCCAAGUGAGUGUCUGCCCGCCAGGGGCACAUUUCCCAACCAUGUACGUUGCAGUUGUGCUUUUGGGACACACAGCCCAGAGCCGGAGUACAGAGUAAACCAUUUUAAUUAACGGAAGGGUGAGCAACGACAAGACUAGGGCAUACAUGUUACUUAAGGAGGUUGCAUAGCAGCAGAUGCAAACAUCCAAACACAGGUGAAAAUGCAGCAGUGCUCGAAAUGGACUGUUUAAAUUUAACCAGGCCCCAGGGAGAGGAGUUGAGCCAAACUAUAUGUCACUGGCACAGGUGAAAAAUGCAAGUUCUCGACUCCACAGAGCGCCCCCCCCCCCAGCACCAAUUCCUUUUUCGGAGGUGAUAAACUGUAAGCUGCAUGAAGCCAAGACUCCCUGAAAGCAACACCCAGCACUGACCUGACACCUCAAAGUCACAGCGAUCAAACCAUGGAGAAGGAACAUAAAUCUAACCUCUGCUGCCCAAGCUAAUCGGGGGGUGAGGAGACAGAGAGAGCGAGAGAAGCGAAGAAACAGAGCAAAGUGAGAGAAUGAGAGAAAAAGUAGCGAGAUGAAACGGAGAAAUAAAGGCAAGGGAUACAGAAACAAAGAAGUACAGAGGUAGAACAAGAGAAAAAGAUUUGAGUGAAAGAAAAAAGGCAAGAUAGCAAAUGGAACGGGAAAUGCAUGUUAUUCAUUUUAUUAAAAAUAUAAUAGGUAUCAAGCUGACAGAUGGAAGCAAUGUGAGGUGAAAAGAGAACAAGGCAGAGGGAGUGGACAGGAAGUGAAUGGGUGUUCGAGGUUAGCCUGCGUCCUACAUAACUUUAAGUGCUCCGAGUCUAUUACAGAGUCUCUGAAGGAAGAACAUCGGAAGGGAAACAUACAAUCCUACAAGGUUUCUAACAAGGACGUCGACAGCCCUGCUGUCCGGAGCACUAGGGCGACAGUGGUAAAUGAGCGCUCACCGCCGCGAGGAAGCCCUACUCUAAGAGUACGACAGAGAAUGGGGCCAGGCAUCCCGAGCUGGCAUACUUACGGCAAACUGGGGGUGGGGCGAGAUGUCACCCAGGAGGGGAUGCUGCUGUGGGCAAGACAAACUCUGAGAGGAAAAAAUCUGUUUGGCUUUUACUGCAGGUUGAGAUCCCGUAAGCUCUGAUUAUCUCCAUUAAUUGCUAUUUGGGACUGAUUAAAAAAUUUUAGAAAGCGUUUUCUGUUCAGUUUUUAAAAAUUGGAUAGAUCUGUGAGGUGGGCAGUUGAUUGAUCAAUAUGCAUACAGCAGAACAUUUAAAAUUUUCUGGCAGAGUCAACUAAAACUGAAAAAUCAGAUUUAUUAUUUAUGUGUGAAAUGAACAAUUUUCCUUGAAUAAAUUAUUUUUUAUCAAAA